rnacentral:rRNA from 1 species
UCGGGAAUUUUGGGCAAUGGGGGAAACCCUGACCCAGCAACGCCGCGUGAAGGAUGAAGUAUUUCGGUAUGUAAACUUCGAAAGAAUAGGAAGAAUAAAUGACGGUACUAUUUAUAAGGUCCGGCUAACUACGUGCCAGCAGCCGCGGUAAUACGUAGGGACCAAGCGUUGUUCGGAUUUACUGGGCGUAAAGGGCGCGUAGGCGGCAUGACAAGUCACUUGUGAAAUCUCUGGGCUUAACCCAGAACGGCCAAGUGAUACUGUCGCGCUAGAGUGCAGAAGGGGCAAUCGGAAUUCUUGGUGUAGCGGUGAAAUGCGCAGAUAUCAGGAGGAACACCGGUGGCGAAGGCGGUGCUCUGGGCCAGUAUUGACGCUGAGGAGCGAAAGCGUGGGGAGCAAACAGGAUUAGAUACCCAGGUAGUCCCUGAGCGGGCUGGCAAGGCG